GCCGUCUCUUACCGUAUCGUAUACCAACACUGUAAUAGGAUAAUCCCGCUACAGGGUCUGAUGCCGAAACGGUGAAUCUUGGAUUAAAUAAUUGCACAUUUCUUAAAAGUUAUUGUAACAGCUUCUAGACAUCAUUGGCCCAAUCACCAAGUGUUUAGCUUCUUGUGAUUUUAGGGUUAUUCUAACAAGCAGGAUUUGUUCCAAGUGAAGGGUGGGGUUAGGUAUCACAACUCAUAUGGCUGUCAUGGUGCAUAGCUUCUAGUUUGUUGGUAGGGGAGGCAAUGAGUUGGGUCAACGUAUACUUUCAAGGCAUAAUUGGCUUGACCUGAACGUGGAUAGAUCUGCUAGCAGUCACAAUCUUUUAUCCUAAACCCACUGAUGAAUAGUUGAACAAAUAGGACUUGACUCAGUAUCAAGGAUGGGAAGAGAAGAGGUGAAG
rnacentral:lncRNA from 1 species